CGCGGCCGCUACCGUAGCAACAGUGUGUGCGCGCGCGCUCCGGCACCGUCUUCUGUCACCUGUCAGCGGUCAGCUGGACCCGUGCUCGUCCCGAACAGGAUUUUCAACUGAGAGCAUUCCAUUUGGCUACCGGCAUUGAUAUGGACGGCUUGUAUCGCAGACAGACCCAUCUCGCCAGAGGUGGGCAGAUGCCAAGGAUACUU